UAAUAAAUAAAAAUUGUUAAUAAUAAAUUAAAUGGAAUCAUUAAAUUUAAAGAAUUUGGCGGUAUUUUAAAUAAUUAGAGGAAUUUGUUAAUUAAAUGAUAAUCCACGAGUGGAGGGUCCUAAUAGAGUUUUAUAUAUUGUUGUAUAAAAAUUAUUUUAUAAGAAAAAUAAUUAAAAAAUUUAAUUUAAUUUGAAUUCAAAUCAAAAUGUAGAGUUAUUAGGGUUGGAUGAAUUACAAUUUAAUUUAGUAACGGAAUUAUUUUUUUAAAAGGAUAAUGAAGUAGGAUUUAAUAGUAAAUUUGAAAAAAUUUUUAGAUUGAAUAAUAAAUUAAAAUAUG
rnacentral:rRNA from 1 species